UUUCACCAAUUCCACAAAAGU
rnacentral:piRNA from 1 species